CCUACGGGUGGCUGCAGUGGGGAAUAUUGCACAAUGGGCGCAAGCCUGAUGCAGCCAUGCCGCGUGUGUGAAGAAGGCCUUCGGGUUGUAAAGCACUUUCAGCGGGGAGGAAGGCGUUAAGGUUAAUAACCUUGGCGAUUGACGUUACCCGCAGAAGAAGCACCGGCUAACUCCGUGCCAGCAGCCGCGGUAAUACGGAGGGUGCAAGCGUUAAUCGGAAUUACUGGGCGUAAAGCGCACGCAGGCGGUCUGUCAAGUCGGAUGUGAAAUCCCCGGGCGCAACCUGGGAACUGCAUUCGAAACUGGCAGGCUAGAGUCUUGUAGAGGGGGGUAGAAUUCCAGGUGUAGCGGUGAAAUGCGUAGAGAUCUGGAGGAAUACCGGUGGCGAAGGCGGCCCCCUGGACAAAGACUGACGCUCAGGUGCGAAAGCGUGGGGAGCAAACAGGAUUAGAUACCCUUGUAGUC
rnacentral:rRNA from 1 species